AGUGAACGCUGGCGGUAGGCCUAACACAUGCAAGUCGAACGGCCGCACAGUAAGAGUUUGCUCUUACGGGUGGCGAGUGGCGGACGGGUGAGGAAUACAUCGGAUACUACUUUUUCGUGGGGGAUAACGUGGGGCAACUUACGCUAAUACCGCAUAUGUCCUACGGGUGGAAUCAGUGGAUCUUCGGACUUUGCGCGUUUGAAUGAGCCGAUGUCGGAUUAGCUAGUUGGCGGGGUAAAGGCCCACCAAGGCGACGAUCCGUAGCUGGUCUGAGAGGAUGAUCAGCCACACUGGAACUGAGACACGGUCCAGACUCCUACGGGAGGCAGCAGUGGGGAAUAUUGGACAAUGGGCGCAAGCCUGACCCAGCCAUACCGCGUGGGUGAAGAAGGUCUUCGGGUUGUAAAGCCCUUUUGUUAGGAAAGAAAAGCAGCAGAUUAAUACCCCGCUGUUCUGACGGUACCCAAAGAGUAAGCACCGGCUAACUUCGUG
rnacentral:rRNA from 1 species